rnacentral:tRNA from 1 species
GGGAAAGUGGCUCAGUGGUAGAGCGCUUGCCUUGAAUGCAUGAGGCCCUGGGUUCAAUUCCUCAGCACCA